UACGAAGGGGGCUAGCGUUGCUCGGAAUCACUGGGCGUAAAGGGUGCGUAGGCGGGUCUUUAAGUCAGGGGUGAAAUCCUGGAGCUCAACUCCAGAACUGCCUUUGAUACUGAGGAUCUUGAGUUCGGGAGAGGUGAGUGGAACUGCGAGUGUAGAGGUGAAAAUUCGUAGAUAUUCGCAAGAACACCAGUGGCGAAGGCGGCUCACUGGCCCGAUACUGACGCUGAGGCACGAAAGCGUGGGGAGCAAACAGGGA
rnacentral:rRNA from 1 species